AUGAACGCUAGCUACAGGCUUAACACAUGCAAGUCGAGGGGCAGCAUGGUCUUAGCUUGCUAAGGCCGAUGGCGACCGGCGCACGGGUGAGUAACACGUAUCCAACCUGCCGUCUACUCUUGGACAGCCUUCUGAAAGGAAGAUUAAUACAAGAUGGCAUCAUGAGUCCGCAUGUUCACAUGAUUAAAGGUAUUCCGGUAGACGAUGGGGAUGCGUUCCAUUAGAUAGUAGGCGGGGUAACGGCCCACCUAGUCUUCGAUGGAUAGGGGUUCUGAGAGGAAGGUCCCCCACAUUGGAACUGAGACACGGUCCAAACUCCUACGGGAGGCAGCAGUGAGGAAUAUUGGUCAAUGGGCGAGAGCCUGAACCAGCCAAGUAGCGUGAAGGAUGACUGCCCUAUGGGUUGUAAACUUCUUUUAUAAAGGAAUAAAGUCGGGUAUGCAUACCCGUUUGCAUGUACUUUAUGAAUAAGGAUCGGCUAACUCCGUGCCAGCAGCCGCGGUAAUACGGAGGAUCCGAGCGUUAUCCGGAUUUAUUGGGUUUAAAGGGAGCGUAGAUGGAUGUUUAAGUCAGUUGUGAAAGUUUGCGGCUCAACCGUAAAAUUGCAGUUGAUACUGGAUAUCUUGAGUGCAGUUGAGGCAGGCGGAAUUCGUGGUGUAGCGGUGAAAUGCUUAGAUAUCACGAAGAACUCCGAUUGCGAAGGCAGCCUGCUAAGCUGCAACUGACAUUGAGGCUCGAAAGUGUGGGUAUCAAACAGGAUUAGAUACCCUGGUAGUCCACACGGUAAACGAUGAAUACUCGCUGUUUGCGAUAUACUGCAAGCGGCCAAGCGAAAGCGUUAAGUAUUCCACCUGGGGAGUACGCCGGCAACGGUGAAACUCAAAGGAAUUGACGGGGGCCCGCACAAGCAGUGGAGUAUGUGGUUUAAUUCGACGCAACGCGAAGAACCUUACCAGGUCUUGACAUCGAUCUAAAAGGGAUGGAGACAUCCCCAUAGCUAUAGAGAAGACAGGUGGUGCAUGGUUGUCGUCAGCUCGUGUCGUGAGAUGUUGGGUUAAGUCCCGCAACGAGCGCAACCCUCGUCUUCAGUUACCAGCACGUAAAGGUGGGAACUCUGGAGAGACUGCCGGUGAUAAAUCGGAGGAAGGUGGGGACGACGUCAAAUCAGCACGGCCCUUACGUCCGGGGCUACACACGUGUUACAAUGGGGGGUACAGAGGGCCGCUACCACGCGAGUGGAUGCCAAUCCCAAAAACCUCUCUCAGUUCGGACUGGAGUCUGCAACCCGACUCCACGAAGCUGGAUUCGCUAGUAAUCGCGCAUCAGCCACGGCGCGGUGAAUACGUUCCCGGGCCUUGUACACACCGCCCGUCACACCAUGAGAGCCGGGGGGACCCGAAGUCGGUAGUCUAACCGCAAGGAGGACGCCGCCGAAGGUAAAACUGGUGAUUGGGGUG
rnacentral:rRNA from 1 species